GACGUAGGGCGCGAGCGUUGUCCGGAUUUAUUGGGCGUAAAGAGCUCGUAGGCGGCUUGUCGCGUCGAAUGUGAAAUCUCGGGGGCUCAACUCCGAGCUUGCAUUCGAUACGGGCAGGCUAGAGUUCGGUAGGGGAGACUGGAAUUCUGGUGUAGCGGUGAAAUGCGCGAUAUCAGGAGGAACACCGGUGGCGAAGGCGGGUCUCUGGGCCGAUACUGACGCUGAGGAGCGAAAGCGUGGGGAGCGAACAGG
rnacentral:rRNA from 1 species